GACGAACGCUGGCGGCGUGCUUAACACAUGCAAGUCGAGCGAGGACAAUUAGCAAUAGUUGUUCGAGCGGCGGACGGGUGAGUAACGCGUGAGCAAUCUGUCCCAGACAGGGGAAUAACAGAUGGAAACAUCUGCUAAUACCGCAUAAGACCACGAUUUCACAUGGGGUCGGGUAAAAGGCGAAAGCCGGUUUGGGGUGAGCUCGCGUCCGAUUAGCUAGUUGGCGGGUAACGGCCCACCAAGGCGACGAUCGGUAGCCGACCUGAGAGGGUGAUCGGCCACACUGGAACUGAGAGACGGUCCAGACUCCUACGGGAGGCAGCAGU
rnacentral:rRNA from 1 species